rnacentral:lncRNA from 10 species
AUCGGCACGAUUCACCUCGCCCGGUCCUGAGGUCCCAGGGACGCAGCUGGGGGUGUCCUGGAAUUCACGACUCUGCAGCCCGAGAGAUGGAAUCUUGCUAUGUUGUCCGGGCUGGUCUCGAACUUCUGGGCUCAAGAGAUCCUUCUGUCUCAGUCUCCUAAAUUGUUGGGACUACAGGUGUGAGCCCCCACACCCCGCCAGGUUUCUGAUUUUUAAUAAAGACUCCCUCUGGCUGUGUGAAGAAAAGGUACCUGUACUAAACGGGGGGAGGCUGGGGCCUCCUAGGCAAGAGAUGGUAGCCGCGGUGGCCAUGCUGGGUGCACAGGCCGGGACAGG